GGCAGGGGGGGCAGUUGAGUGGACAACGUGUGUGUGUGGUGGGUGCAGGGAGAAGGCUCCAGAGGCCUGGGAAGGAAAGUGGUUCCUACAGGGCCUGUACCAUGCCAUUUUGGAAUCCCCAGGCUACUACUUAGUAAGCGUCUUCAAUAUGCUAGCAAGUGCUUCAGACAUGGGCAUUCUAAGUCCACAAUACGAGAAGGCUUGUGCAAACCCCCAGACAACUAACUCACAUAGGAAGAGCCUAGACCUCAGUCCUCGUAGGAUGAACUCUGGCAAAGGUUCCCCUGAAGGCGAGGUCUAGACCAGGUGACCUUGAACGUGUCUCUGAGCCUUGCUGGCAUUCUUUGGGUCUAGGGUGUUCAAGGAGGUUUCGCGCACACCAGUUGCCCUGUGCAUUAGUCCUCUCUUGCACCUUGUGACUCUGUCAUAGUAGCCUGACUUCCCAGAGGAAGCGAGCUCUAGGGCCAGCGGGGAGGCGGGCAUCAGAUCUCCAUCUCCUCCUGGCCCCCUCUGCCCAUGGCCCACAGGAGGUGGGACCCUGCCAGGCCCCAAAGCCUGGAGCCUCCCCAGCAAGCACAGGUGGGCUGUGAGGUCAUGCUUCUCAGACCUGAAAGGAGACAGCCAUCACAUCUUGCAGGUGGGCCUGCCCCGGGGAACUGUGGGGUGGGGUGUGUGUGUGUGUGUUUGUGUGUGUGUGAACCCCUCUAGCCUUAUUCACAGUCCCCUCUGGGGGCCAGGGGCGCCCCUUGAUGCCAACCGGAAAGCCCUUAUCUUGCCCGGAAGAGGUCCAAAGCAUGUGUGGCUCCUGACAUGGCGAGGGGAGGCUGGGGGGAGGCGGGGAAGGCGGAGAGAGCGAGAAGACCCCCCUGCAAGCCGUGUUCAUACAAAAUGCAUUUCCCAACGUAUCCCUCUGGCCUGUCGGAGCCCCUUCUGCUCACUGCUCUGUUUAUACAUGAUAGACAACUAAUUAACAUCCAAACCUCUUGAAAGGUCUUUUCAGAGGUAAUGUUCUGACAGAUUAUGUCAGCAAGGAGCACUGAUUUGUCUAAGCAUGGAUCACAUUGUUUCAGAUUGAAUGAGGUGAAUAUUAAACUGCUUUAAAUGUACUCUUCAUAAAGUACUAAUUACACACUCCCAAGAGAGAACAGCCAAGGAAUACUAAACAGUAGAGAAGUCAACAGAGGGUUCUUUUUAUAGUAUGUUGCUGGGCUCUGUGUUUUUCUGUCUCCUUCUUUCUCGCUCUCUCUCUUUCUCUCUUUUUUUUUACAGUAAAAUCACAGCACGCUAAAGAAUACACAUUUAUAGCACAAUGCUUCUCAUCUAAUUAUAUGGCAAUCAUUAGUUUUAAGCUGGAUGCAUUAUAUUUUCUUUGAUAUAUUAUGCCUAAGGCAUAACUCUGCAUUUAUUGUUGCUACUGGCAGAUUUUAGCUCCCCCACAAGCCCCCUUUUCCAAACCCCAACUACUUUCUAACCCCCACCUUUUAACAAAUUAUUUAACCCCUAUGUUAGUUUGCUUAUUGUGCCAGAAAAAAAAAUCACAAUUUAAAUCGGCAAAAAAAUGGGUGAAACAAUAUACCCUUCAUUAAUUUAAAGAAAAGAAAUCGCAUGUGUUCUGGGGAGCUGUGCAAAUUUUAUUAACCAGGUGAUGUCCUGAAUACACAAUUUCUACCUCCCACCCCAGUGAAUUUCCUUUGCAACAAAUUCUACCAGAUCACACUGAAUUCCCUCUUGGCUGAGACUCCUUGUCCCUCAGGGAAAGAGAUAUUUAUAUGUAUAUAAAUAUAUAUCUAGAAAAGCAACACAGGGUGGAAAACCAUGUGCCAAAGAGCAUUCCUUCAAAAUGCCUAUCCACAGAUGUAGCCAGAAUUCUGCUCCAUCAGUUUUUCUGGGUCUUUCUGACAUUAGCUUUUGCCCAUGGUUGAGAAAAAGCAAGGUCAAUUUUGAGAUGUCCUAGGCUCUCAGAUUCUCAAUCCUGAAGAAAGGAAAAAGCCAAGUUCCCUGGGGAUGGAUGAUAUUGACCCAUCUGGUUUCUUCUCGGUCAGGCCUCCAAUUCCCAUGCCGUUGCAGAGAAAAGAGACUGCAAGUCUCCGAGAGGUAGAAUUACUUCUCCGUAAGUGGCAAAGUGGGGCCAUGUUCUCCCCAACUGUGACUUUCUCUUUCCCUCCCCACUCCAAUCAAAGAACUGUGGAGUCUUGGGGUUGAAGGCAUCAGAGAUUUCCUUUGCUCGUUGUGUUACAGCCAAGGAUUCCUGGCUGAAAGGGGCUAUGCAUGUCCCCUAACAUCACAGAGCUGCCUGCGGUCAGGACUGGACUCCAGGUUCCUGACUCCUAGACCAGUGUCCACUUCAGACAGAGAAGUUCCAAGCAACUCUUCCUACACAAGAACGACCAAGGGCCAAGGAAUAAAAUGACAGCAGCAUCUUUUCUGAGGGCUGAAAGAAGUCUUUUUUUUUUUUGAGAUCGGGUCUUGCUCUCUCUCCCAGGCUGGAGCGCAGUAGCAUGAUCUUGGCUCACUGCAACCUCUGCCUCCCGUGUUCAAGCGAUUCUCCGACCUCAGCCUACCGAGUAGCUGGGAUUACAGGUGCAUGCCACCACACCCAGCUAAUUUUUGUAUUUUUAGUAGAGACAGGGUUUUGCCAUGUUGGCCAGGCUGGUCUCGAACUCCUGACCUCCGGUGAUCUGCCCACCUCUGCCUCCCAAAGUGCUGGGAUUACAGGUGUGAGCCACUGUUGCCCGCCGGAAGAAGUCUUAAACCCCUUGGGUUUCUUCUUGAAUCCCACUCCACAAUAUCCCCAACCAAAGACUUGUUCAUUCUUGGCUCUGGACACUGCCUCCAAUCCCCGACAGCGGUCAGAUCAUCACUGUGUAGCUCUCAUGGUUUAAAGUACGUGUUUACGAGCAGUGAAUGCUGGCCCUAGAGCGUGUAGCUUCGAAUCUUGCACUGCCACUUCCCGGAUCUCUGACCUUGGCUAAGAGACUUAGCAUUUCUUUGCCUCUGUUUCCCCCAUAUCUACAAAAUGGGAACAAUGCGAGUGUCUGCCUCACAGGGUGUUGUGAGGAUGAGGCUAGGUAAUAUAUAUGUAAGAGGUGCCCAGCCUACUAGGCUAAUUAAGGUUAGCUAUCAUUAUUGUUAGAAAGUUUGCCUUCUCAACCGAGCUCUUUCUCCCCCAAACAACUACCAUGAAAGAACUAUCUCACCUCCAAGAACUACCAUGGUUGUAGUUCUGUCUGGGGCCCCAUGGAAGAAGAUUAAUUUUUCUCCUACAUGACUGCUUUCAACUAUUUCAUUCAUUCAUUGCACAGUUUUGCUAGGUGGUCUCUGGAUGCCAGGUGCAUAAUGCCAGGUGUGGAGAGAGCCAUGAAGAAGACCUGGUCCCUGCUUUCAAGAGCCCAUACUCCAGAAGGACGUGUAAUUUGUCUUCGGAGCUUCUCUUCCCCAGGGGAAACGCUCAUCAGUUUCUUCACAUAUUCCUCACUUAACAUGAUGUCAAGCCUUUCCUGGCCCAUGUUCCUUAUGUGAAAUCAUCCAAAGAAAUUUACCAAGGAUGAAGAAAAAAUGGCAGCAAAUUUGGGCUUCCAUUACUCACACAUACUCUAUAGCACCCAUUACUCAGGAGAUUGGGAUUCUAUUGGGUUAGAGUGGUCCCAAGUAUGUUGUUUUUUAAAAAAGCUCUGCACACUUGAAUCUAAUACACACACACACCCUCUAUCCUGAAAAAAUGGAGAAGGAUAAACUCUUCUCUCCCAAUGCUGAUCUCCACCUCCUCCAGGGUCUCUCUUCAAGUCCAGGUUACUCUCUGUGGAGGUGUUAUUUGAUAUGUGAAGGUGUGAGCUGCUGACCUGUGAACGCUUCAGGGUGCACUAAGUUAGCUGGCAGCCUCACUGUGCACCGCGUAUGCCAGCCAAAACCCAGGGACCAAGGCUGGCUUUGUGGGCAUGUGACCGGUGUAGUUGCCCAAUGCCCUGUGCUUUGAAGGCCUUUAUGUAUAUAUAUAUUAUAAUAGUGUUCGCAGCCGAGUUCCUAGUAAUUUCAUCUUGGAAUGUGUGUUUGGUAAGUGAAGUAUCAUGGGACUAUGGAGUGUGUGGUGGGGAUUUGGAGCCUCAACUGGCUGACCCGUGGUCCUACUCUGAGGCUGCUGCCACCUUCUGCUCUCUGUGGGAGCCUGGGUGCAGGUGCAGAGUGGGGAUCGGUCAUACACCCCAUGGCAUCUUAGAGUGGGACAAACAUUGGUCACUCCUGUCCCCAAAUGGCAACAUUCAGUGGAUGAUUUGACAGAGGCCUCUCACCCACCCCCAAUCCAGGUUCCAAGCACAUCUGGGCAUGGAGGUUGCAAUCCUUGGGGAUGCCCCUGGCCAUGAGGACCAGUGGGUCAGAGAGAGGAGGGGAUGGACUUCCCCUGUCCCAGGCAGGGCCCCACAUUUCCAAAUUGCCCUGGGUCCUGCAAAUCGCGGUUCUGCCAGAUACUGAGCCAAGCAUUCCCUCUCUCAUACCUCUUCCCAUCGCAUCGUCACCGGGUCCUCAGUUUCUUUCCUUCUUCCUUCCUUUAUUUCUUCCUUCCUUCCUUCCUUCCUUCCUUCCUUCCUUUCUUUCUUCUGAGACAGCAUCUUGAUGCGACGUCCAGGUAGGAGAGCAAUGGUGCAAUCUCGGCUCACUGCAACCUCCCCUUCUCAUGUUCAAGCGAUUCUCCUGCCUCAGCCUCAUGAGUAGCUGAGACUACAGGUAUGUGCCACCACACCCAGCUAAUUUUUGUAUUUUUAGUAGAGAUGGGGUUUCACCAUAUUGGCCAGGCUGGUCUCGAACUCCUGACCUCAAGUGAUCUGCCCGCCUUGGCCUCCCAAAGUGCUGGGAUUAUAGGCGUGAGCUGCUGCACCCAGCCCAGGUCCUCAGUUUCUUAGAAACACCUUCUCUUAGGGACAAACAUUGUCCCUCAUGAGCCCAUGCCUGGAUGACUGUAACCACCUGGGAGGGACCCCCUGCCUCUGUUCUCUCAUCCUUCCCAUCAGUGAUGCUGCCAAAGCUAGCAUAAUAGAAAACAAAUUCAACUUUCUCAUUCUCCUGAUAAAACCCUGUCCACAAGAGUCCUCUUCUACUCCAGGAUAACAUACUGUGUAUGUCCGUGCAUGUGAGUGUGUGUAUAGGUUCUAAGCACCUAAACAGAUAUUCGCUCCACGCUGCGGGUGGGCUCUCUCCACAGAGAGAGAUCACCACCAUUCAUGGAUCACCACCUGUGGAUCACCACCAUUCAUGGAUCACCACCUGUGGAUCACCACCAUUCAUGGAUCACCACCUGUGGAUCACCACCAUUCAUGGAUCACCACCUGUGGAUCACCACCAUUCAUGGAUCACCACCUGUGGAUCACCACCAUUCAUGGAUCACCACCUGUGGAUCACCACAGUGUUUAAGACCAAGCGAGGAAACAUGUCACAGUGGAAUCUGGGCAGUGAGGAUGCUAUUUUCGAGGAAGAGCUCUUGCCUCACACCAGUAGACACAGGCAGCCAGCUCCUUGGCCUAACUUGAUGGACUCCCUAAACACUUCCUCUUCCUUCCAAGCCUGUGUCUCCCUUCCUCACCCUCACGCCACAGUCUUGGCCAGUCUUGUCACGGUGAGGCCAUCAGGUGAGAGGAUGUGGUGUGGAGGAUGUGUGCUUCAGGGUCGGGUAGACCCGGCCAUUCAUGCCUGUGGGACUGUGGAUGGUGAAAGCCCACCGACAGGUCACAGGCAUCUGGGAAAUGCCAAACAAAGUGGAAGAAGCUGGCUUUGGGUGAUGACCAGUUCAUAGAUGGCCUCUGACCUCACGGAGCUGGCAGCCCCUUGGCGAUAACAUAACCCUCUGUGCACUGGCUUUCUCAUUUGCAAAAGGAGAUCCUUUCCUCAGACUGAAAUAAUGCACAUAAGCUGCAUGGUAUGAAAUUUCUGAAGGGGCAUUCUUCCACAGCCCAAGAGGUGUAUCAGGAAGCUGGCCCUUCAGGGACAGGAACACCUGUGCACCACAUCUCUGCGAUGAUGCGACCUGGUGCCUGUGACACAUCCCUGCACAUUGCUGUGGGGGUAACCAAAAAUGGAGCUGUGGGAGCCAGUGGAGGGCAUGCUGGCGUAUCAGGGGCAGCAGCACCCGGGGCGGCGGUUGGGGGAAUGGAAUCCAAUAUGAAGAUGGUUCUUUCUUUCUCUAACACUUUACUGCAUGCCCUGGUGUCACUUUUCUCAGCAUGGCUUCUCCCUGCACUCCUUGCUUCCAAAUGCUCAGUACUUCCUGUCCACCCAGGUGGGUCACAGCACAGGCCUUGGAGGAAGCCGACUAAGCUGGGUUUGAAUGAUUGCUUCUGCAAGCUAACAGCCAUGUGGCCUUAGGUGAGUUAUGGGACCUCCCCAUGCCUCAGUUUCCUCAUGGACAAAGUGGGGGCUGACAAUACCAUCCUCCUUACUUCACCGUGGGGGUCUAGAGUGUGCUGCAGAAGUGCCUGGGUGAGACCUGCUUCCGGUUCCUCUUUAAGCCAUACGAAGGGGUGUUCCGGAUCUAACAGAUUCUCCCUUCUCAGGAGUACUUGCAUUUUAAAAGAUGACCCUGGGGCUGCUUCAUACAGCACAAUAAAUUGACUAGAGCGAAGCUCCGGUGGGAAGCAGUGGGGUAAAGAUAUUUUGGGGGCAGGAAAUGACCUUCCUUUACUUCCCAAAUCAUACCACUUAGACUAGCAGUUCUCAGCCUCAAAGCUGUGACACGCUGGUGUGGGACCAGCAGUUGUGAGAUGUAUCACAAGCAAAUGCUGCCAAAAAUAAAGUGCUGUGGUUUUUGAAUAAUCCCCCCCACCAAUUUUUUGUUUGUAAAUCAGAGGGAAUUCAGGGUUAUCCCUAUAAUGUUGUCACGUCCGCUGUCAUUCCUCCGUGAUUUCUCGAGCGGGAAAGAAGAGUGAGCAGGAACCACUGCUUUCUGCAACAACACAGGUGAUUCCUACGAUAGAAUACUAUGAUUGCAUUUACAUGACGCUCAAGAAUACGCCUGAUUGACAGUGAUAAGAGUCCAAAUAAUCUCACCUUGCCGGGGGUAUAUGGAUGGGGAGGAGGUGUGUGGGAGACUCUUGGGGUGUUGGAAAUAUUUGCUAUCUUGAUCUCGGUGGUGGUUACUUGGGUAAAUAACCAUUAAAUUGUAU
rnacentral:lncRNA from 1 species